rnacentral:rRNA from 1 species
GACGAACGCUGGCGGCGUGCUUAACACAUGCAAGUCGACGACGCUACUGAGUAGCAAUAUUUAGUAGUGGAGUGGCGCAAGGGUGAGUAAUGUAUACGUAACCAACCCAUCGGAGACGGAUAACAUUUCGAAAGGGAUGCUAAAACGGCAUGAAGCCACGAUUUCGCAUGAGACUGUGGUUAAAGAACCGGUAACAGGUUGCCGAUGGCUGGGCGUAUAUCCGAUUAGCUAGUUGGUAGUGUAAUGGACUACCAAGGCGACGAUCGGUAGCUGGUCUGAGAGGAUGAUCAGCCACACUGGCACUGAGACACGGGCCAGACUCCUACGGGAGGCAGCAGUGGGGAAUAUUGGGCAAUGCCCGCAAGGGUGACCCAGCAACGCCGCGUGGAGGAUGAAGGCCGUAAGGUUGUAAACUCUGACAAGCAGGGAAGAACGGCUAUGGUAAAAGGCCAUAGAAUGACGGUACCUGCCUGAAGCCCCGGCUAACUACGUG